GGCGAUUCUUCCACGGCGCUCGAAGCGCGUCGUGGUAUUUCGCGUAUUGUAAUUUCAACACGAGCGGGGUCAAAUCCUUUGCAGACGACUUAGCUGUGCGAAACGGUCCUGUAAGCAGUAGAGUAGCCUUGUUGUUACGAUCUGCUGAGGGUAAGCCGUCCUUCGCCUCGAUUUCCCCAAUGGGUUCUCCGGAUUUCUGGAGACUUGUAGGGGUUGUGGGAUUUUUGAUGUGUCGUCUCCGGACGGGCGGUGCAGGGUAGUCGAGCUAGACUUGGUGGAAUUCCAUCGAUAGGAGUUCCGUCGAGUCUGGUCGGCUGUGUGUUGGACGGUGCAGGGUAGGCUGCUUGGACAUGGUCGGUUCGAGGAUCGAUUCGAGGGCCGGCGCCUGUCGAUGAUGUGUGAUGUAUGCGGUCUAGGGUAGGCUGGUUUGUCUUGGUUCGAUUUGAUGUCGGCUCCCGUGCAGGCCAGAGUGAGGUAGGUACAGGGUAGGCAGCUUAUAUUUGGUCGAUCUGGAGGUCGAUUCUCCGGUUGGCGGAUCUGACACUGUCGAAACGAGAUGCGAGCGGUGUAGGGUAGGCUAGUUUCGUCCUCGCCAGGUUGCGACUUGGACGAGAUAUGUGGUCUAGGGUAGGCUCUAGGGUAAGUAGAAUUCGAGUUUCGUCGCCGAUAGUUUUCUGUGGGUGUAUGGUAGGUGCAGGGUAGGCAAAUCUCUCUCCGGCCAGUACUUGUCUGGUGGUCGUGAGUCGAUUUUUUUGUUUUGCCAUACUAUUGAAUUUUGCGGAAAUUCAAAAGUGGCUCGGGAGUCCCGCCUGGCGUGCGUCCAACUCGAACAUCG
rnacentral:rRNA from 1 species